rnacentral:rRNA from 1 species
GAUGAACGCUGGCGGCGUGCUUAACACAUGCAAGUCGAACGGAAAGGCGCUGCUCUUGUUGGUUGCUCGAGUGGCGAAGGGGGGAGUAACACGUGAGUAAACUGCCCCUGACUGUGUGAGAACUUCUGGAAACUGGGGCGAAUAUCGGGUAUGAGCUCUUGCUGCACGGUGUGGGAUGGUAAGAGACGGCGGUUGGGGCUGGUUUCGCGGGUUAUGCGCUAGUUGGUGAGGUAGUGGCUUCCAAAGGCUUUGAAGGGUAGCCGGCCUGGGAGGGUGGACGGGCACAUGGGGACUGCGGUACGGCCCAGUCUCCUACGGGACGCAGCGGUGGGGAAUAUUGCGCAAUGGGCGGAAGCCUGAUGUGGCAACGCUGCGUGCGGAAUACCGGCCUUCGGGUUGUAAACAGCUUUCGAAUUUAACAAGGAGUGCGUGACGGUACUGGGUCAAGAAGCACCGGCUAACUACGUG